GAAACCCCUAGUUAGCUGGGCAGGUGGAGGGCAGAGAGGCCUGUCUUUGUAAAUUCUCAGUCUUGAGAAGGAGCAGUGUGGAUGGAGUUUUUGCCUUCCUGCCUUAUAUGUUGAUGUGAUGAUUGAGUUAAAAUAGGCAAAGAGCUUAGAAGAGUGCCUGGCAGGUAGCGGGUUCCCUAAGUAUUAACUUUUACGAGGAUGAUGUUUAUUCCCUAUCACAAGCAGUGCCGCAAGGAAAUCCUUGUUCUGCCCUGGUUUUCAGACGGAGACUGAGGCUCAGAGGGGACAAGACCUGCUUGAGGUCACACAGGCAGUUGAGAGCAGAGCUGAGUCUUGAACUUGGGUCUGGCUGAUACCCAAGACUGUCCCCACUGCAAUGUGACACUCCC
rnacentral:lncRNA from 1 species